rnacentral:rRNA from 1 species
AAUGAGACUGCCGGUGACAAACCGGAGGAAGGUGGGGAUGACGUCAAGUCCUCAUGGCCCUUAUGGUAGGGCUUCACACGUCAUACAAUGGUCGGUACAGAGGGUUGCCAACCCGCGAGGGGGAGCUAAUCCCACAAAGCCGAUCGUAGUCCGGAUCGCAGUCUGCAACUCGACUGCGUGAAGUCGGAAUCGCUAGUAAUCGUGGAUCAGCAUGUCACGGUGAAUACGUUCCCGGGUCUU